rnacentral:rRNA from 1 species
CUAUACAUGACUCUGCGCAUAUCAAUAAGCGGAGGAAAAGGCUGCGGAACUGAACGACCGCUACCUACGCUUAGGAUGUUGACACACGCGCGUGCUCGACUCUAUACAUGACUCUGUGCAUAUCAAUAAGCGGAGGAAAAGAAACUAACAAGGAUUCCCUCAGUAACGGCGAGUGAAGCGGGAAGAGCUCAAAUUUGAAAUCUUGAAAGGUCACCUUUCACGAAUUGUAGUUUAAAGAAGUGUUUUCUGUUACGAUCGUAAUAUAAGUUCUUUGGAAUAGGACAUCACAGAGGGUGAGAAUCCCGUCUAUGAUUGCGAUUUGUAGCUUUGUGAUACACUUUCAAAGAGUCGGGUUGUUUGGGAAUGCAGCCCAAAACGGGAGGUAAAUUUCUUCUAAGGCUAAAUAUUGGCGAGAGACCGAUAGCGAACAAGUACCGUGAGGGAAAGAUGAAAAGAACUUUGAAAAGAGAGUUAAACAGUACGUGAAAUUGUCAAAAGGGAAGCGUUUGACACCAGUGUUGUUUUCUCGAAAAUCAAUUAAAAAUGGCUCGAUUUUGUAUUGCUGAGACCUUAAAAGCUCACUGUACAUUUUUCGUGUCUUUUUUAAUGCACUUUUCGUUUAACAAGUCAACAUCAGUUUCCUUUUGUUGUAAAAGGGUCAUUGGAAGGUGGCUUUCUUUUCGGAGAAAGUGUUUAUAGCCUUUGGCCUCUGCAAUCGGAGAGACUGAGGUCUGCAGCGUAGACUCUUCGGGGUUAGAUACAUUUGUGCUAAGUUAUAGCUUCUUAUAGACAACUUGUUGACUAUAAUUAGUCUUGUAGCUUACUCGCUUAUGCUAUCAUACCUACGCUUAGGAUGUUGAGUCGUAGAGCACGCAG